AUUGAACGCUGGCGGAAUGCUUUACACAUGCAAGUCGAGCGGCAGCGCGGGGCAACCUGGCGGCGAGCGGCGAACGGGUGAGUAACAUAUCGGAACGUACCCAGUCGUGGGGGAUAACUAUCCGAAAGGAUAGCUAAUACCGCAUACGACCUGAGGGUGAAAGCGGGGGACCGAAAGGCCUCGCGCGAUUGGAGCGGCCGAUAUCGGAUUAGCUAGUUGGUGAGGUAAAGGCUCACCAAGGCGACGAUCCGUAGCUGGUCUGAGAGGACGACCAGCCACACUGGAACUGAGACACGGUCCAGACUCCUACGGGAGGCAGCAGUGGGGAAUUUUGGACAAUGGGGGCAACCCUGAUCCAGCCAUUCCGCGUGAGUGAAGAAGGCCUUCGGGUU
rnacentral:rRNA from 1 species